GGAAUCUUAGACAAUGGGGGAAACCCUGAUCUAGCCAUGCCGCGUGAGUGACGAAGGCCUUAGGGUCGUAAAGCUCUUUCGCCAGGGAAGAUAAUGACGGUACCUGGUAAAGAAACCCCGUCUAACUCCGUGCCAGCAGCCGCGGUAAUACGGAGGGGGUUAGCGUUGUUCGGAAUUACUGGGCGUAAAGCGCGCGUAGGCGGACUGGAAAGUUGGGGGUGAAGUCCCAGGGCUCAACCCUGGAACUGCCUCCAAAACUAUCAGUCUGGAGUUCGAGAGAGGUGAGUGGAAUUCCGAGUGUAGAGGUGAAAUUCGUAGAUAUUCAGAGGAACACCAGUGGCGAAGGCGGCUCACUGGCUCGAUACUGACGCUGAGGUGCGAAAGCGUGGGGAGCA
rnacentral:rRNA from 1 species